CCCGGCUGCUAUAGAGCCGGGUGAGAGAGCGAGCGCCCGUCGGCGGGUGUCGAGGGCGGGUUGCCUCGCGCUGACCCUUCCCGCCCUCCUUCUCGUCACACACCAGGUCCCCGCGGAAGCCGCGGUGUCGGCGCCAUGGCGGAGCUGACGGCUCUUGAGAGUCUCAUCGAGAUGGGUUUCCCCAGGGGACGCGCGUAAGGGAGUUCCCCAACCCCGGCCUGCGGGGGUGGGGGGUCGCGGACCUGUCUCGGCCUUUGCCCCAGCCUGACCGUCACCAUGGCUCGUGGGCGCUAUUCAUGGUGUUUCUGCCCCCAGGGAGAAGGCUCUGGCCCUCACAGGGAACCAGGGCAUCGAGGCUGCGAUGGACUGGCUGAUGGAGCACGAAGACGACCCCGAUGUGGACGAGCCUUUAGAGACUCCCCUUGGACAUAUCCUGGGACGGGAGCCCACUUCCUCAGAGCAAGGCGGCCUUGAAGGAUCUGGUUCUGCUGCCGGAGAAGGCAAACCCGUUUUGAGUGAAGAGGAAAGACAGGAACAAACUAAGAGGAUGUUGGAGCUGGUGGCCCAGAAGCAGCGGGAGCGUGAAGAAAGAGAGGAACGGGAGGCAUUGGAACGGGAACGGCAGCGCAGGAGACAAGGGCAAGAGUUGUCAGCAGCACGACAGCGGCUACAGGAAGAUGAGAUGCGCCGGGCUGCUGAGGAGAGGCGGAGGGAAAAGGCCGAGGAGUUAGCAGCCAGACAAAGAGUUAGAGAAAAGAUCGAGAGGGACAAAGCAGAGAGAGCCAAGAAGGUAGGUGACUGAGAAGACGCCACGGGUAAUGGAGUGGGCAGGUUAGUAAAUCUUUUCCAGCUUCAGAGGGAAAGCAUGGGCUUAUAUGAUCUGUUUCACCUGAGGAUGGGUGAGUACCUGAUUGACUGUUUUACUUUGCCCUUUAGUAUGGUGGCAGUGUGGGCUCUCAGCCACCCCCAGUGGCACCAGAGCCAGGUCCUGUUCCCUCUUCUCCCAGCCAGGAGCCUCCCACCAAGCGGGAGUAUGACCAGUGUCGCAUACAGGUACUGAUUCUAAUUCCUAUCUUCCUCUUGGGACCCCUUCGUUGCCUGUUAAGGUGCCUAGCUCAGAGCUUUUUUCAGUUAAUGUGCCCUUUGCCAAAUCUCUCCCUUCUUUGUAAAUGACUUUUGAAAUCCUAUCUCUACUCUUAGGAAAGGUAUCAAAUUUCACCUGCCCCAGUCGUAUUUAAACCCAUACCUCUCUCUUACUCAGCAGUUACCCUUUUACUUGUUCAUGUUUUUAUUUGGUUUAUUAUGUAGCUAUCUGGUGAUGUGGUAUUUAUCCAGAUUCUUUUGUAUAAUCUUAUCCUUGUCUUUCUUAGGUUGUGAGGGAGCUGGGAGUCUCUCAUCCGCACUUAGUAAAGCGGAGCCUAAGUGGCUGUUCAUUUGGUGCUUUAAAUAGUUGUGCUGGUUCAAUCUAAGAAGAAGGGGGCCCAGCUUUAGCUCUUUUCCUUACUUGGGCACCUCAUUCAGUUUUGAUGCCCACAAUACUGAGUAUCUCCCUUGCCCUUUAGGUCAGGCUGCCAGAUGGGACCUCACUGACCCAGACGUUCCGGGCCCGGGAACAGCUGGCAGCCGUGAGGCUCUAUGUGGAGCUCCACCGUGGGGAGGAACUAGGUGGGGGCCAGGACCCUGUGCAAUUGCUCAGUGGCUUCCCCAGACGGGCCUUCUCAGAAGCUGACAUGGAGCGGCCUCUGCAGGAGCUGGGUAUGGCUGCAAGACUAGAAACCAGGACCUGGGGGAGUAGGGAGGCAUGCCUAGGAAAAGGAGGGAUGCAAAGAGAAGGGGCUUUGUGAACAUGGUGCAAGGCCAGGAAUUUUGGGAGCAAAAACCAAGUAUCCUUGUGGUUCAAGCCUGUUUUCUUCCAUCUUCAGGACUCGUGCCUUCUGCUGUUCUCAUUGUGGCCAAGAAAUGUCCCAGCUGAGGGCCUUUGUCCCAUCGUCCCUCUGUGACCCCUUCAUCUUUGAUAAAGCACUGACAUCUCCUUCCUAAUAAAUAGACCCUGAGUUCUGUACA
rnacentral:sRNA from 1 species